CUCAAAGCUGAGUCGUGAGUUACUGUUGGACAUACUGUAUACCCUGGCAGACGAGAAAACGUAAGAGAUUGGAUCGAAGACAAACUUUAUGGUGUUCAAAACACAAGGAUAUAUUUUACGGUACUUAAGGGUAAUGUAUUAUACAGCAGUAAUAUCAAUGUACUGGCUAAAACAACCUUCAAAAAAUCAUUGGUAGGAUGAGAUCUAUUCCACAUCAGAGCUGGUUAUAGACGAGUGCAUUUUCUAUUAGAGGUGUGCACCGGAUCGGAUUGGACGUUUAUAAUCCGACAAUUGGCUAAUGUUUAAAAUCCGAUUCAAAAUUGUCUAAUGCGAAUCCGAU